rnacentral:rRNA from 1 species
CAGCCGCGCGGUAAUACGUAGGGUGCGAGCGUUAAUCGGAUUUACUGGGCGUAAAGCGUGCGCAGGCGGCCCGUUAAGACAGGUGUGAAAUCCCUGGGCUCAACCUAGGAAUUGCGCUUGUGACUGGCGGGCUCGAGUACGGUAGAGGGGGGUGGAAUUCCUGGUGUAGCAGUGAAAUGCGUAGAGAUCUGGAGGAACACCGAUGGCGAAGGCAGCCCCCUGGGCCUGUACUGACGCUCAUGCACGAAAGCGUGGGGAGCAAACAGGAUUAGAUACCCUGGUAGUCCACGCCCUAAACGAUGGGUACUAGCCGUUUGGUGCGCGAUAGCGCUGAGUGGCGAAGCUAACGCGUGAAGUACCCCGCCUGGGGAGUACGGCCGCAAGGUUGAAACUUAAAGGAAUUGGCGGG